UUUUCAUGUUCUUCACUCAAAAUUGUUCAAAACAGUAAUAGUAAUUAUACGGCAAUUACUUACUAAUCUGAUUUAAAUUCUUGUGUGCAGUACUACAAUUAUGAAGUGAAGAUGAUAAUUUUUUAUCAUAAUAGAUGUAGUCAACAAUGUGACAGUAUAACAAAGUAUUGUUAAUAAAUACCAAUUUUCUUCGUUAUUUAUCAUGACAUUUCUCAAUGUGUACUAUGAGUUUAUAUCUCAAUUUUAUAAGUGAAUAAUUUUUUAGUUCUUAAAAUAGACAUUUAAUUAAUAAGACACCUUGGUUUGAUUCAUAUACGCAUAUUCUGAUACUUACCAAAAAAUAAAUAAAAUCUGUAUGUCUAAUUUUUAGUCCUAACAUUGAUUGGCUCGUUGUUUCUGACAUUUUUGCCCAUAUAUAUAAUUCUCCUUAUAAGGAAAGAAAUCUAAUAAUAUUAUCAUCUUUAUCCUUAUUUAGUUAUGGCAUAAAAGAGUUUAAUUGUGGUAGUUAGUCCUAACAUUGACUUGCUAGUUACUUUUAACAUUUUUGCCCAUAUAUAUAAUUCUCCUUGUAAGGAAAGAAAUCUAAUAAUGUUAUCAUCUUUAUCCUUAUUUAGUUAUGGCAUAAAAGAGUUUAAUCAUGGUAGUAUUGUUCUUAUGCGUCUACUCUUUUGCAUAGUUGUCUUUGUUAUUAUUUUGGUAAACUAUUAAAAGAAUCUAAUUGAAUACUAUUUAUUUACGUUAAGAUUCGCUGGCUAUUAAUUUUCUCUUAUUUGUUUGCUUUCUCUCUCUCUCUUUUUCAAAUUUCCAUAUUUAGAGAUACUUAAUCAGAGUUCAAUUCUUAGGUUCAGUAUUACACUUACAAAUUUAAAAUGUAAAAUUUUUACUAUAAUUAAUGUAGUAAAUAAUGUGGCAUUAAUUAUAACAUCUUCUCAUUGUGUCACAUGAGUACGCAAAUGAUUAUAUCUUAAUUAUAUAAUUGUAUAAUUUUUUUUUCUCAAAACUAGAAAUUUAACUAAUAAGACACAUGGUUUGAUUCAUGUACAUAUCAUUACAUAUCCCUUCCCCCCCCCCCCAAAAAAAGUGAUGAUAGAGUUGCUAACUCUUUAGCAAAUUUAUUUUGUAUAAAGUGAUGUGAUCUACAUUUAUUUGUUGUAUGAAAUAUAGAAAAAUAAAAAUAGAUCAUGUAAACCAACAAUUAUUUAGUUGAACUAAUUAAAUUAUACCACAUUAAUUUAUACAAAUGUUUUUCUUACUAUAUCUUAAAAAAGAAAGAAAGAAAAUCUAUAUUUUAAUUGGCUAGUUGUUUUCACCCAUAUAUAGAAUUCUCCUUGCAAGGAAAGAAAUCUAAUACUUGUAUCAUCUUUAUCCUUAUUUAGUUUUCUUACAAAACAGUGUAACUGUAAUAGUAUUGUUCUUAUCCCAUCCAACUUUUUGUAUAGUUGUCCUUAUCCAUCUUUGGGUUCUUUUUCAGUCCUAACAUUAAUUGGCUAACCGUUUUUGCACAUACCGAAUCCUCCUUGUAAGGAAAGAAAAUCCGAUAAUAUUAGCAUUUUUGUACUAAUAUUUAGUUCUCUCGUGAAAGAGUUUAAAUGUACUAAUAUUAUUCUUAUCCCUUACACCCUUUUGGACAGUUGUCUUUAUCCAUCAUUUUAUGUCUUUUAGUUGUCUCUUAUAUAUUUUCCUUUUUAUGAGUUGAAUAUUUAGUUAUUUCAUUAUAGAGUUUGAACAAUAAAAUACUAAACCCGCACAAAUAAAUUAUACGUGUCACUCAUUUAUUGGUAUGCGACGUUAAUUGGAAUACAAAUUAAGAUCUAAUUAUUAGGAUCGCUAACCCUAUUAUUAUUAUUAUUAUUUAUACGGUGUUCUAUCAUAUCUUAUGCUGGUGAUUGCCACUAGAUCAUUUCUUUAAAAUCCAUACUCAAGUUGUAAUACCGGUACUGUAAAUUUCUUGAAUGACAAUAAAAUCGGUUGGAUGCAAGCUAGUUUAAUUGGUAAAAUCUCUUGAGUGAAAAACAAGAAGAGUAAUGAUAUAGUCACAAACUCUUGUACAAACUUAUUUAGUACAAACUGAUGUGACGUUAGUUCAUUGAUUGAAUUAAAUAUCUCUUGGUCCACAUGAUUUAUUAUAUUAUUUUAUAUUUUCAUUUAAUCAAUGAAUUAAUGUCACAUCAAUUUGUACAAGAUAAGUUUGUAUAAGAGUUUAUGGUUGUAUCGUCACUCUACAAAAUUUAAGAUACGUAAUACUACUGGAGAAAAUAUUUAGCUAUUCCUAGACUAAAAAAUAAAUAAUAAUAAUAAUAAUAAAUGGCUACACUUCACUAUAAAUUUGCCACUUACAAUCUCUCAAGUUGCAGUUAACAAGCAUACAUCUCUCUUUAUAAACCUAUCUUCUUCCCUUUCCUUUUCGUACAGUUCCAAAGCUUUUGCCAAACAAACCAGAUGAACGAUAUGCUCUUCAAAAUACUUAAAAAUCAGUGAGAGCUAUUGAAUGGAGAGUCUAUUUGAAUUAUUCAAAUACUUCACCGCGUUUCAUAUUGAUUAUGAAACAAAAGUGUGGCCUCUUCUUAUUAGUAUAGAAGAGAGAUCAAGAUAUUUGAAUUACGUCGGAUUAGCGAUUUACCAGAAUGUUUCUGUUGAAGCUACGCAUCGGUAUUUCUUUAAUCUUAAUUUUCUUUCUCAUUGAGUAUGAAUUUCAAGUACUACCAAUUAUGUUUGACAAAAUAUAUAUACAUUGUGAUAGGGAAAUAAAAAUUUAUAUUAUUUCUGCGAAGAUCAACGAAUGCGGCGGACACGAGAAGGUAUGCUGCGUAAUUAUAUUCUCUGUUUAUUGAUUAAAAAAGUGAUUUUUUUCUUCUUUUGGAAAAUUCUUCUCUGUUUUUUUAAAACAUGAUCGCAUAAUUGUUUUCUCUGUUCUGGGAUCAGGGCACGAGAGCACCAUAAUUUGCAUUCACAUAGACAACAAGAAGGGAUUUUUAUUAACAUGUUUUUAUUGUUUUGCCUUUGCCAAAUGCAUUCGAUUGCAGGUACUAUACGACGAGAACCGGGACUGUCCUUCGUUCUUGUGGAAUCAGCUCGAUUCAUUUUCAUACUAGGGAUCAAAUCUUGGAUUCGCCACUGCUGGAAUGGCUUGAACGGAUGAACUUUGUCACAUAGUGUGCAUUCAAGCUGCAGCAUAUAUAUCUUCUCCUGGGUGCUUGUGUCACCAAGGACUUGGGUAAUCUGACGGCGGUUGGAAACAUCAAUGUGUUAUACUUGAUUAAUUCCGUCAUCAGGUUAUUCUCAAUGUGGGUAAAUCCAUACUUGUUGAUCCACAUUGGGACAAGUUCUGGGACCGAUGGAAUUACAAGGUUUUCCACAUUGAGCAUACGAAGAGCCUGAAAAUUAGAUUCGCAUACCUGCGCUGGCGGUUGCACUGGCGGUUUGAAUUACAAGAUUUUCAACAUUAAGCUUACCAGGAGCCUGAAAGUCGAUCAGAUUCGCAUUAGAACUUGUUCCAGGCAGACAUAUAUUGAAAUGAAAAAUAUGACACAUACAGCUGAUUAUUAGUAGCUUCAGCACCAGCGCUUGCAGAUUCGAUUUGGGCGAAUAGUUUCGGCGUCAUUGUUCCUUUGUAAUCCCAUGGACCCUGUAAAAUUGAAGUGAUGAAUACUCCCAAGUUAAAUGAAAACUGGUUGUUGUAAAAUAUGUAUUUACUGGACUGAUUAUACGAGAACACACAGAAUGAAGUGAUGAAUACUCCCAAGUUUUUCUUAAACCGAACCGAUUACUUCACAAAAACUAAAAUAAAUAAAAUUUCAUAAAAAUUUAAUCUAAAUAAAUCAGCUCGAUUCCACUUUACUUCCCCAGAUUAUUGUAUUCAAUUGAAAUAUUUGUAAAAAGUAUAUUUAGAUUAUCACUGUAGUAUUGCGUGUGUUUAUCAAUUAUAUUUUCAUGAAUAUGUUUUAAAAAUAAUCUAACCAUUAAAACAUAGUUAUGCUGACAGAUUGAAUUAACCGUAAUUUUUAUCUUUAUUUUAUCUUAUACGUUUACAUUAUUGGUUUCCUAUAGUUUAUUAUUAGUGCUUCUCAAAAAGAAAAUCAUAUUUAAAUUAUAAUAAUUUAAUAUAAAUUAUUAGUUUAGCAAAAUUUGGUUUCGGGAUUAACAGGAAAAAAUUGGGAGAUCGAAUGACAAAGUUAAUCUCUUAACCAGUAACAAUAACCGUUCAUGCAAUCUAUUCCCUUUUGGGAAAAUGUAAAAUUAAUUGCUUCUUUAAUUAAUGUUUUCAUAAAAUAAAUAAUUAAUGAACAUUAGCAAUUUUGAUAGGCACACAUACAUUCAUACAUAGAAACUAAGGCCCCGUUUGAGAUUGCUUUUGAGAGGGUUAAAAGUGAUUUUAAAAAUCUAAAAGCUAAUUUUGGUAUUUGGUAAAAAAAAAUCAAAAUCACUUUUGCCAAAAUCAGCUCUUCCUACAGCUGAUUUUGAAAAGCAAAAAAUGAGUAACUUUUAGAUUCUGAUUUUGAGAAUCAAUUUUAUCCUUUAAUAUAAUUUCUUAAAUAUCCUUACAAUUAUUACUUAAACCCGAAAUUAUCCAUAUUUAAAUUGGAAAUAAAAUCAAUAUUUUAAUAAUUUUUAUGGUAAUUAACGCACACCUUUCGUUUAUCCUAUUUCUUCAUAUUUUGUGUUCUAUCAAAACUUCUCUAGUGCAAGUAAAUUUAUUUUCUUGCAGCAUGUUUAUAUGUAUAAGUAAAUUUCAUCCUAUAUUAUGUAUAUUUUAGUCAUUUAUUUUUUUACAGCAGUUCAACAAUAAAAUUGACCAAACACCCAUAACUGCUUUUAAAAUUCACAGUAUUUUUGAAAAUAAAAUUUACCAAACACUUAACUGAUUCUCUUCACAGCUGAUUAUUUCUACAGCACAGCUAACAACAAUUAUUUUAAAACCUGCAGCAUUACCAAACUGACCCUAAGUCUGGAAUCGGAUUGGGUUGUGGAACACAUCCAAAGGUCAUAAUUUGCUGCACUUAGUGGACAGCACCACGUGUAGCAAAUAAAUAAAUAAACAAAAUAAGGUAAAGGUCAAUCUAACUCCCCAAUCCAAUUCCAGAGCUUAGUUAUAGUUCAGAAUACUGGACUGAAAAUUCAUAUAAUAAAUAAUAAAAAUAAUGACAAUAAUAAGUUAAAUGAUAUUUUUGUAAUUUGAAAUAAUUUAUUCCACAUAUUAAUAACAAUAUAGUUUAUUCCGGUUCUGAUUCGUACAUUUAAGGUAAAUAAUGAAUUAUGAUUCUCAUUCUAGCCUAUUCCGAUUCAACCCAUUCUGAUUACGAAUUAGUAAACGCAAUAUAUAUAUAUAUUUCAAAGAGUGAUUGAAAGGAAAACAUUGAUUCGUAUUACCUAAGAUAUUUAAAAGGAGGCCACCACUUUAAAAUUUGGACAUGCAAGCAAUAUUCUUCGGCGUUUCAAGUACCGAUCUCCGAGAAUCACUGGCCAUUAACCCCUAGGAAGACCAAAAUGACUUAGAAUUUGUAGAUCUUGAAAUCUUCUCAUUCUCGAGCAAUCGACAUAUGUAAAAAAUUGUAAUUAAUAGUAAAAAAAAUGGUAGUUAUGUAAUCAAAGGUAAAAAUUAAGAAAUUAUUUGGUAGCAAUGGAGGUUCCUAAUAAGUUUUAGUGGUCAAAGAAAUUUUUUUUAGAUUGCAAAUCGCAAGGGUGGAAAAUGAGAAUAAGUAAGAAGGAGUAAGAAAAUAAGAACGAGAAAGUACAAUUAGUAGACGGGUAAGAAGAAUAUAUAGAGGGGAAAGAUAUGAAAGCGAAAGACACGAGGCAAAUAGCGUGAAAAUCGCAAGCGAAAGAAGAAUAUUAUUUUUAGAUUUCUUCCCCUAAGAAUCAUUCGUUUUCCGCUACACACUGUAUUUGAAAAUGUGAUCGCGUUAAAAAAAAUAUUGUAUAAUAAGAAUUUAUAAACUUAUUUUGUACAAAUUGAUAUGUUGUAACUACAUUGUUUAAAAUAAAUUAUGUUUAUAAACUUAUUUUGUACAAAUUGAUAUGGUAUAAUUAUAUUGGUUAAAGUAAAUUAUGUGGAACAUAACCAAUACAGUCAUGCCUAGUGACACAGCUAGACUUUACACCCAACAAAGGUAAAUGUAAUUUACAAAAAGAAUUUGAUUUUCCUUUAGUGUUAUUAGAUAAUUUUAGAUUUAAUAUACUCAUUUAAGGUGAUUUUGAUGACGAAAUUAUAAUUUUGAGCCUUUUUUUUUUACAAUAUUCAAGUUGGUUGGGACAUAUAAAAUUUUUAAUUGAAAUAAAAAAUAAUUUUUUUAUGAAAAAAUUAGCUCAACUACUAAUCAUGGUACAAUAAUUCAUACAAAAUAAAUAUAUAUAAGAGUUUGUAAUUUAGUUGGUACCAUGAAUAUAUAACCUUAUGAUGGACUAGAUCUUGUUUGUUAGUUUAUACUGUUUAUCUUCAUUAUAGCAAUAGGCCUAUAUUAAUUAUAUGAAUUUUAUUACUGAAUUUUAUCUAAAAACUUGAAACGACAUUUAUGAACAUGACUUUAAGAAGUCACGCUCUAUUUUUCGUAAGUAGCUCGGUUCAUUAAUUUGUAACACUAACUAAUAAGGCCCCCUUAACAUAUUAAAAAAAAUUGAUUGUAUUAGAAAAGCUAUUAGCCAGCAAUACAAAAUAAAGAAUCAAUAUAAGGUAAAGAAUAAAAUGAGAGAGCAAUAUAUUAUAUAUUGAUUUUGUUCAUUCCAAUUGUAUACAAAAUAAAGAGAUGAGCUCUCCUUUUAUAGUUACAUAAUCACUCCAUGAAAUUAAUGGAAACACUAUGGAUCAUAAUUUCUUGUGAGAUAGUUGGAGUUAUAAAGAAGUUAAAGGUUGCUAGUGGGAGAUGUAAUAUUUCCUUUAUGUGUAGUAAAUGAUUUUUCAAUGAUUUGUUUUUUAGUGAUGAUACAGCCACAAACUCUUAUACAAAUUGAUGUGACAUUAAUUUAUUGGUUGAAUGAAAAUAUAAAAUAAUAGAAAUAAAUCAUGGGGACCAAGGGAUAUUUAAUUCAACCAAUGAAUUAUCGCCACAUCAGUUUGUACAAAAUAAGUUUGUACAAGAGUUUGUGACUAUAUCAUUACUCUUUGUUUUUUAUGUUCUUCACUCAAAAUUGUUCAAAAUAGUAAUAGUAAUGGACAUAAAAUUACUGAUACGGCAAUUGCUUACUAAUAUGAUUUAAAUUCUUAUGUCCAGUACUACAAUUAUAUAAAGUGAAGACGAUAAAUUUUUAUCAUAAUAGAUGUAGUCAACAAUGUGACAGUAUAACAAAGUAUUGUUAAUAAAUACCAAUUUUCUUCGUUAUUUAUCAUGACAUUUCUCAAUGUGUACUAUGAGUUUAUAUCUCAAUUUUAUAAGUGAAUAAUUUUUUAGUUCUUAAAAUAGACAUUUAAUUAAUAAGACACCUUGGUUUGAUUCAUAUACGCAUAUUCUGAUACUUACCAAAAAAUAAAUAAAAUCUGUAUGUCUAAUUUUUAGUCCUAACAUUGAUUGGCUAGUUGUUUUUGACAUUUUUGCCCAUAUAUAUAAAUCUCCUUAUAAGGAAAGAAAUCUAAUAAUAUUAUCAUCUUUACCUUAUUUAGUUAUGUCAUAAAAGAGUUUAAUUGUGGUAAUUAGUCCUAAUACUGAUUGGCUAGUUGUUUUUGACAUUUUUGCACAUAUACACAAUUCUCCUUGUAAGGAAAGAAAUCUAAUAAUAUUAUCAUCAUUAUCCUUAUUUAGUUAUGGUAUAAAAGAGUUUAAUUGUGGUAGUAUUGUUCUUAUCUGUCUGCUCUUUUGCAUAGUUAUCUUUGUUAUUAUUUUGGUAAUCUAUUAAAAGAAUCUAAUUGAAUACUAUUUAUUUACCUUAGGAUUCUUUGCCUAUUAAUUUUCUCUUAUUUGUUUGCUUUCUCUCUCUCUCUCUUUCUUUUUUUUUCAAAAUUCCAUAUUUAGACCUUUCAUUAAAGAAUAAACAAUAUAAACAAUGAAAUAUUAGAUAGUGUGAUGAUAGAGUUACAAAUUCUUAUAAAAGUUUAUUUUAUACAAACGGAUGUGGUAUAAAUUCAGUGGUUGGAUAAAAAUACAAAAUAAUAAAAAUAGAUUUGAUAUGUACAAAGUCAAUUAUAUCCUCUGUAU
rnacentral:lncRNA from 1 species